rnacentral:rRNA from 1 species
CGGGGUGCAGCAGGCGCGAAAACUUUGCAAUAAGCGAAAGCUUGACAGGGCUAUCCCGAGUGCCAUCCGCUGAGGAAGGCUUUUACCCAGUCUAGAACGCUGGGGGAAUAAGGAGAGGGCAAGUCUGGUGUCAGCCGCCGCGGUAAUACCAGCUCUCCGAGUGGUGUGGGUGUUUAUUGGGCCUAAAGCAUCCGUAGCUGGCUAAGUUAGUCCCUUGUUAAAUCCACCGAAUUAAUCGUUGGAUUGCGGGGGAUACUGCUUGGCUAGGGGACGAGAGAGGCAGACGGUAUUUUCGGGGUAGGGGUGAAAUCCUAUAAUCCCGGGAAGACCACCAGUGGCGAAGGCUGUCUGCUAGAACGCGCCCGACGGUGAGGGAUGAAAGCUGGGGGAGCGAACCGGAUUAGAUACCCGGGUAGUCCCAGCUGUAGACGAUGCAGACUAGGUGUUUGGACGGCCACGUGCCGUUCUAGUGCCGCAGGGAAGCUGUUAAGUCUGCCGCCUGGGGAGUACGAUCGCAAGAUUGAAACUUAAAGGAAUUGGCGGGGGAGCAC